UUGUCUUCUAAAUAAAGACUAGUAUGAACGGCUAAAUGAGGACAAAACUGUCUCUUAUGACUAAUCAGUGAAACUGAUCUACCAGUACAAAAGCUGGUAUUACCACAUAAGACGAGAAGACCCUGUGGAGCUUAAAACAAACCACUACCCAAUAAGACCCCUAGUGUACUGUUUUAAGUUGGGGCGACUUCGGAACAAAACAAAACUUCCGAGCAUGGAUCCACCACAUCAAGCCAAGGCCUACAAGCCAAAAUAAAAACUGACCCGGCCCCCGCCGAUCAACGAACCAAGUUACCCCAGGGAUAACAGCGCUAUCUUCUUCAAGAGUCCCUAUCGACAAGAAGGUUUACGACCUCGAUGUUGGAUCAGGACACCCAGGUGGUGCAGCCGCUACUAAAGGUUCGUUUGUUCAACGAUU
rnacentral:rRNA from 1 species